rnacentral:rRNA from 1 species
AUUGAACGCUGGCGGCAGGCCUAACACAUGCAAGUCGAGCGAGCGGAGGACGGGUGAGUAAUGUCUGGGAAACUGCCUGAUGGAGGGGGAUAACGUCCGGAAACGGGCGCUAAUAACGCAUACUCUAAGAUGAGCCUAGGUCGGAUUAGCUAGUUGGUGGGGUAAAGGCCUACCAAGGCGACGAUCCGUAACUGGUCUGAGAGGAUGAUCAGUCACACUGGAACUGAGACACGGUCCAGACUCCUACGGGAGGCAGCAGUGGGGAAUAUUGCACAAUGGGCGCAAGCCUGAUGCAGCCAUGCCGCGUGUGUGAAGAAGGCCUUCGGGUUGUAAAGCACUGUCAGCGGGGAGGCGUUACCCGCAGAAGAAGCACCGGCUAACUCCGUGCCAGCAGCCGCGGUAAUAC